rnacentral:lncRNA from 1 species
AAGUACUGGAGUUUAAUGUCAGCAAAAUGAUUCUGGAAACAUAGGUUGUGGGUUUCCUUUUUAACUUCUAAAUGGUACAGAUGUUUAGGGUUAUAGCUGAAAUAUUCUUCUUGGGAGACCAAAAUCUGAGAAAUCCUCUUUUUUUGUUCUGGUUGAUUCUGCCUGCUCUAAAACCAUCACCCCUGACCACAGGGAUCUUUGUCAUUUCAUCCACGAACUGUGGGAAUGACUGGGUGAGAGCAGACAGGCACAGAUGUGAUAUAAAUUCUAUCCCACCAUUAAAAGGUUCAUCUCAAACUAACAAGCAAACACCAAAUAGUCAACUGAUACUGAAUCAGCAAUGCUAUCUUUUCCAUUAUGCUAGAAUAUUUUAAUGUGGUGUUUAUCAUGGGCAAAAUGUUUGCUUUUAGAAUUGCUAACAUUUCUAAUGCAUACAUUCUCCUAAGUUUAGCAUGAAAAAGCAAUUAUCAUCUGAAUGGCAUAUUUGUCCCUAAAUGGAUUCUUUACUUGGAAAUCAAUAACUUUGUUUCAGAAGGAAAAUAAAUAUUUGGCAUGUUGAUGAUUUGAGAUUUUUUUCUCACCAUCAGAAGUCUUUGUCCCUGUUUUUGUCUUAUGAACUACUGAAUUUAAGUCAGUGUUAUGUCUUCCUAAUGAAAAUUAUUUUUAGAAUUCAGUUAGAGAAACAAAAGGCCUGUGAAUCAAAUGCAAUUGAGAAUCCAGUGGCAUUUGUAGCACAAUGAUUGUUCAAACUGAUUUGACUUCAAAUUUCUUUGGAGACAUGCUUUUAAAAUUCAUGCUUUUUUUUUCAUUCAAGUUUCAGCACAGUUUAUNNNNNNNNNNNNNNNNNNNNNNNGCAGGGAGAAGGUAUUUCAGAUGGAAGGGACAGUGAAAGGGUAGAACAGUAGAGGAGUUUGAAAAGAAGCAUAAAAACAAUGGGCUUGCUUUUACACCCAGACUUCUAGGUGAGAGCUAUAUCAAGGAGACCUUGAAUUGUCUUCUCCUGGCAGUCAGACUGAAAUACAUACAGGUACUUACUAUAGCUGUUGGUGACUAGAAUUCAUACAGUUCGGCAUUUGCCAGCCAUAAAAUUUCCUCUUUGCCUCACGGGUCAAUGCCAAAGCCCCCAGAAUCCUUGUAAUGUCCAACUACAAAAGGGCAGGAGUCUGGAAUCCCCUGGGUCUGGAUGACCC